GUGGGAGCGGGCUUGCUCGCGAAUGCAGUUGUUCAUUCAGCAUUGAUGUCGACUGAUACGACGCAUUCGCGAGCAAGCCCGCUCCCAC
rnacentral:antisense_RNA from 1 species